rnacentral:lncRNA from 1 species
AUUCAGUAUCUUUGAGGAACAGACAGAACCAAAUUUCUGAAAAAUAGCCUAUUUCAUCCCUCAGAAAAUUGAGCCUGUAAUUAUAUUCUAGAUCUUGAUACAGACAGUAUUUAUAUCAUUGCUAUGCACUUGUUCUUUAUAGGUAUGUUAACGUGCCAUUUUUUAAGUUUACCUAAUUUUUAUGUAUAGCUGAUUCAUUUUUUAGCAGCAGUAAAGGAACCUUGAAAACUUUAAUCUUUUUUCCACACAUUUUUUUGCAAAAAUCCAGGCACAGCUUCCCAUAGACGAGCUCAUAACGGAGCAUUUGCAGCCUCUGUAUUUACAGAAGGCCACCUGACACGACACAAAGCAGCCAGCGAAAGCUGAAUUCUUCCCCAGCGGAGCAAAGGGGUGAAGAAAUACUGAAAACGUGAUCCCAUGAGGGAUAACUUGGCCAGACUGCACAUGCAGCAGCUCCCGGCAGUGUGAGCAGGGUUUGGUAGGGCUCACGGGGGAGGCAGGCAGGUGGGGAGCUGCGAUUAGCCGGGGCCUCAGCGGGGACGGACGGGGUUAUCGGCGGCGGGAUGCCUGCCAGGUCACGUGCAGAUAUUUCUCUGAAGCGGGCGAUCGGCAGGAGUUUAGCAAUAAUAAAACGGGAUAAAGCGUGUUUGCAUAAACACGGAAAUGAGGCAGGCUCACACCACAAAAACAGCUGCAAAAACUGUUGGCGUUUUGGGGUCGGCCGCUUUCAGCUGAAAGACAGAGCUACAUAGUUCACUGUGGCAAGCUAAUAUAUUUAUGGUCCAAAGGGCUCUCCUCACCCCCAGACUUGAGGCUUACAGAGGAAUCCAAGGUGCUGCACACCAAGUACAUCUUCAGCGUGGAGGUCUCAACACAUUUUUGGAAUGUAUGGGCAUCACCCAUGCUUACAGAGAGGUGGAGCUCAGGUAUGGGCCCAGCUAUCACAUGUGUCUGAAUUUCUCACCUACACAGCCAGCCAUCAGGUGCCUGACUGAAUUUGCAGGUGCACACUGAGGCUUAGUGGAUGACAGAAGGUGUGUCCUGUGAAGCAGUGAACUGAAUGCAUCAUGCACUGCCUGGCAGCUGGGAAGGACAUACAGCACGCUUGGAAACGAGAAAACAGCACACAGACGUGGGAUCUAAUAAACUGAGCCAAAAUUUGGAGCCCA